rnacentral:rRNA from 1 species
GACGAACGCUGGCGGCGUGCUUAACACAUGCAAGUCGAACGGAGUGCUCAUGACAGAGGUUUCGGCCAAUAGAUUGAGUUACUUAGUGGCGGACUGGUGAGUAACGCGUGAGGAACCUGCCUUUCAGAGGGGGACAACAGUUGGAAACGACUGCUAAUACCGCAUGACGCGUGACUGGGGCAUCCCGGACAUGCCAAAGAUUUUAUCGCUGAAAGAUGGCCUCGCGUCUGAUUAGAUAGUUGGUGAGGUAACGGCCCACCAAGUCGACGAUCAGUAGCCGACCUGAGAGGGUGACCGGCCACAUUGGGACUGAGACACGGCCCAGACUCCUACGGGAGGCAGCAGUGGGGAAUAUUGGGCAAUGGGCGCAAGCCUGACCCAGCAACGCCGCGUGAAGGAAGAAGGCUUUCGGGUUGUAAACUUCUUUGUCAGGGACGAGUAGAAGACGGUACCUGACGAAUAAGCCACGGCUAACUACGUG